AGGGGCAUGGUGUAAUGGCAGCACAACGCUCUCCAAAAGCGUUUGUCUGGGUUCGAGUCCUAGUGCCCCUG
rnacentral:tRNA from 1 species